rnacentral:lncRNA from 1 species
CACUGCGAAAACAAUAAUUGUAUUUAUGAAUUAUGUUAAACUAUAUUGUACUACAUGAUAAAACUACGUUUAAAAAUUAUUCGAAAAUCCAUCGUUUAUAUUUCGUGAUAAUAUCUCCCAUGAUGCUAUAAUUCAGUAUUUCCUAAAGUUGAAAAUGUUAAUGUGCUGUUGGUAUAAAACUGAGAAGUUGAAUUAAUUAAUUGUUGUAGCUUUUCACGAACUGCUUAGGAAAUUUAAAGUAUAAAUAACCUUUAACAUUUUGCCUUUUCGGAUCGGAUGCCUAGAAUUUUAAGAUAAUAUUCUCAACAUCUGAAACGGAAAAUACCGAAAAUGUUUUAUCAUGGGAGUUAGUCAUUUUAACAAAUUACGAUCCACAAUUCUAAAUAUAGUUAUAGAAUAUAAGCAAAACUGUUGUGGUGUAUACUGUGUAUACUCAGGAAUAGACCUUAUAAAGUUAUAAGAGUUUCGUAUUUGCGCAUUUCAGAUCAUUCUUUGUACAUUUUUUCGUCUUCAAGGAUAAGAAGUGAAAUUAAUUCAGUCGUAUAGGACUGGAUCACAAUUAAUUCACCUCACUUUAACUAAUAAGUAGUGGUUUAUUCUUAUGAGAUGUCAUUUCAAAUCCUGCAAUUCGGACUGGACUAGAUUUCAAGUCCUCACAUUUUGAUCCAGAUCUCUGCUUCGCCUCGGACGUGAUCAAAUUGCGCGGACUUGAAAUGUAGUCCAGUCCUCAUAGUCGGAUUUGAAAUAUUACAUGCCAGAUACUCCCGCCUUUAUUGCAAUAAAGCAAUUGAGAUAGGGGACCGUUCAUUAUUUAUACCUGGGGUUGGUACCGAAGAGAAGCGAAAAACACUAAAUUUUUUAUUUACCCAACCUCAACAUUGGUCAAAAUAAUGUUUACCCAACCCAUGUGUUACUGUACUUCAUAAUAAUUAAACACACAAGAUUAUG